rnacentral:rRNA from 1 species
UACGUAGGGGGCAAGCGUUGUCCGGAUUUAUUGGGCGUAAAGAGCGUGUAGGCGGCCAGACAGGUCCGUUGUGAAAACUCGAGGCUCAACCUCGAGAUGUCGAUGGAAACCGUCUGGCUAGAGUCCGGAAGAGGAGUGUGGAAUUCCUGGUGUAGCGGUGAAAUGCGCAGAUAUCAGGAAGACCACCUCUGGCGAAGGCAGCACUCUGGGACGGUACUGACGCUGAGACGCGAAAGCGUGGGGAGCGAACAGG